UACAGAGGUCUCAAGCGUUUGUUCGGAUUCAUUGGGCGUAAAGGGCGCGUAGGCGGCGGGGUAAGUCUGGUGUGAAAUCUCGGAGCUCAACUCCGAAAUUGCACUGGAUACUGCUCUGCUUGAGGGUUGGAGAGGAGAUCGGAAUUCACGGUGUAGCAGUGAAAUGCGUAGAUAUCGUGAGGAAGACCAGUGGCGAAGGCGGA
rnacentral:rRNA from 1 species